UACAGAGGGGGCAAGCGUUAUUCGGAAUUAUUGGGCGUAAAGGGCGCGUAGGCGGCUUUGCAAGUGGCGGGUGAAAUCCCUCGGCUUAACCGAGGAACUGCCUGCCAGACUGUGAGGCUUGAGACCGGGAGAGGUGAGUGGAAUUCCCAGUGUAGCGGUGAAAUGCGUAGAUAUUGGGAGGAACACCAGUGGCGAAGGCGACUUACUGGACACAUAUUGACGCUGAGGUGCGAAAGCGUGGGGAGCAAACAGG
rnacentral:rRNA from 1 species